GUUUUAAAAAUUGGAGUGUCUUUUCCGCGUUGACUGAUUUUGGCUCUAAGAGAUGUCGCUGGUCAUUUCAGAGUGACUGAACCUCCCCUCUAACAGAUCCCGGGAAUUGUUUUCAGGAAAGGUAAAAGGCAGCCUUUUCUGUCACAACACAACGCUGAGCCGGCAGCCUGGCUCUGUCAGGAUCUGGGGCUCCAGCGCCCGAGAAGCCCAGCCUCGCCGGCGGCCAAGUUCACCGCGAGGCCACGCGCUGCCUGCGCUGCGCUCCCGGACCCGCACCGACCGCAGCGCGCGCCGCCGGUGCUUCUCCCACCCCAGCCUGGAAGCUGCCUCCCUCCGCCUAUCCCUGCAGGAUAAGAAGCCCGAGGAGGCGGAGCAUGGAACUCGACAGUUAAAACAUUUAAGAGAGAAAACCUAGUGUCUUGCUGGCCUGAAAUCGAGUACGCAGCCCGGGGUGAUCAGGGUCUCCCGGCCCGGAUGUGUGAGACUUGCUUCCCCUGGGCAAUAGGCGAUACGAUGCUUUAGGAGGAAGGUAUCUCUCCCUCCUAAGCCCCGGAGGGGAGAACUUCCAAAGACAGAAAACCACAGGGUUCCUGGCACAGAGCUUUCCCUUUAUCAGCUAAAGCAGAAUCUUUUCUGGCCUUAACCUGGCCCCUUCCUCUAACUGUAGGCAGAGAGGCAGACAGAAAAGCACUUGCUGAAACACAAAGUUUUGUUCUGUCCUCAACGAACUGUCUAGAGUUGAUUGCUGAUAGUCGUGGUGCAUUAUGCCUUCCUGGUUUUCAUUUAAUUGGGCACCACGCUGCCUUUCAAGACGCCUUAAAGGAACCAACAACCAAAUCCAAGAGAGCUGGACAGACCAUUGAACACACAGUAGGCUGUGUCUCGUGGCUUUCGUUGUCUGGUGCCUCAAAGAAAACACCAGAAAGAUUGUUUCUAAGCUAGAGCCACCCCAGAUUGCUUAAAGUGCAAAGCUCACUGCUGUUGGGGGUACCCUUGUGAGACACUGGAAAGCUGGUUUUACCGUGGCCCUAUGAAGAGGAAGACUGAAAUUUAGACAGUAAUACCUUUACUAGGAUUGGAAAAGAUUUGGUUAAUGACAGCCCUGUUAUUUCUAAAACCCAUUAUCACUGUAUGAGAGAUUCCUUUGCGCUGCAUCCUCGACAGUGCUUCCUAAGGCUCUGCCGACUUCCAGUUCUGGAACAAGAUGGUUAAACUCAUUUUUCCCUGCUCUGCUCCUCUAAAUACAACUAAGUACCUUGGAAACUAUUCAGCAGACAAUGAUAAAGGGCUCUGAAAGCUAGAAGAAAAGGUGUACUUGCAAGAAACCUCAGGACUUGAGUAACAGCAACAUGGUAAGUUUUCUAAGUUUUCUUUUCGUCUCCCAUAUACGCUGGGCUGUGCUGGAAUCACCAACAGGCACAGAAAAAAUGACAACAAAACAACAACAAAACCCCCAAGAAUAUCCUGUUGUCUUUGGCCAAAGUUCAGGAAAGGGGAGCCCCAACAGAGACCCAGUAGGAAGCUCUAGCCCCUGUUUUGUACAACCCAGGGUCCUUGCAGAGAGAUUGAUCUGCCAGCAGUGGCAUCAGCAGCAAUAGUAGCAGCAGCAAAGCCCUGGACAGUCCUGGCCCCCAGUCCACAACUUAGACACAGCACAUGGCCUAAUUCACCCACAGAAGCAGCCACUGUGAAGCCCUGUGUCUCCCCAGACUCCAUCCAGUGGCAUAAGGAGACCCAGGCCCUGCAGCUUCCUCCCCAUCAUGGAAGGCUGUCCAUCUACAGAGUUUCCAAACAUAAUAAGCACUAAGGAAACAACAUAACAUGAUAUGCCGAAAAAAAAAAUCACAA
ensembl:lncRNA CYTOR cytoskeleton regulator RNA